GUAUGUUGGGUCACAAGACUCUCGUGAGUCGUGAAUGAAGCUUUUGCUUUUGCUAUAAAAGUGUAUUGGAGUAGCAAUUCUCUUCAUUUCACUUUCAUUUUUCAAUUUCCUCCAAAUUUUUUUCCUCUCCUCCUCUCCCACGCUGCUCCCUCCCCCUCCUCACCUUCGGCCUCCGCCCACCACCACCCACCAGCAACCGUUGUCAACCGGUACCACCGUGCGCCGUGCACUUCCGUUUGGUCAGAGUGCGCUGUACACCGACUCCCAAAAGCACCGUGCGACGCCGAGCCCACAGCCACCGUACACGACCGGCAAACCACCUCACGCCGACUGACGACGAACCACCGUCUCCCUGAAGGCUCCCAUUCUUGUACCAACCUUUAAACCUAAGAUGAAUAACACGACGAAUGUCUUGGAUUCAUCCCACCUGGGAUUGGGAGAUUUUGGGAAAAAUCAGGAAAUUGUCAACGAACAAUGGCAAUGGCAAACUCCAAUCAAGUCAUAAGCCCAAUCGGAGGAACGAUAUGUAUAUUUAAGUUGUAAUUGGUGUUACAUUCAUAAUAAUGUUUCUGUAAUGUAAUGUUUUUGUAAUUUUACAUCUAAUAAUGUAAUGUAUAUUUCCUUUUACAUUUAAUUUAGUUUCCGUAAUCAAUAAUUAUUCUACUUAGAAUAAGUUUGUCUUAUGUUGGCCCGGAAAUUUUUGUACACCCUUAUUCACAAGUGAUUGUAUGAAAAUGAAAUCUUUGCAAAAAAAAUAUGUUUUUUGUGCAUUACGUGGAAUAUAAAGGUGAAAAUCAAUGAGUAUAUUGGUAAUAAAAUUUUUCCUACAAUUUACAUAAUCUGAUAGAUAGUUUUGUUGAUUACUAGGCAUGCAAAAUGUUUGUACUCGCUCAAGAUAUAUAGUAUUCCCUGGAGCGAACUUCAUCAUGUCUUCUAAUUCAUCUUACAUUGGAGAAGAAUAGAUAUGCCAAUAUGACAGUAGUGUGCAGAGAUAAAUAUGGUUUGCCAAUCUUUUGUUGCGUAGGAUGGACAGUUGAAAGUGACACCAAUGCCAUAGAAGCUAUGGCUUUCGCGAGGGGCUUCUAAUUAGCUAAUGAUUUGUGUGGGCACAACAAAAUUAUAAGGGGAAAAACCGACUCUUUAGACAUCAUGAAUAGAAUAGACAGUAGAAUAGUAAAUAUAACCAUGGAGUUAGCCCUAAAAAUUAUUCAGGGUGAAUAUAGUCAGUCCAACAAGCUUUUGGUCAUAAGUGUUGCGCAAAGUUUCUUUAAGGGGCAGUAAUAGAGGCCAUCCUUUUACCGAAUAUCACAUACCACGUGUGCACAACAAUGUGGCAGAUUACCUGGCGAGACUAGGAGGCAGGGUAGAACCAUUUAUCCUAAAAUCAAUUAGUAGAAACCAACUUUCUCGAAGAAGGCAGCCAAUAGAAUGGAUGAUUUCGAGUGGAGCGAUACCUAGGGGCAUUAUACGUCAACUCUUAAAACAAAUGGGUACUACAUUCCUACUCUCAAAAUCUCAAGCUUCAAAUUAAGCAUUAAAAAUUUCGAAUGGCGACAAUGAACUCUUACUUGUGCCAACCCUCACACGAAUAAAAGGCAGUCAUGGAUGAGAUCAACUUAUGGGUCGCAAGUACAUAAUCAGUUAGCUUAUUUUACACAAUUUAUACUCUUCUAUUAUUAAUUAAUUUAUUCGUACACAGAUUAACACUUUUUUCAAUUUACAUUCUCGUAUUAGAUUUAGCUUCUAAAAUAUCAGCAAGAAAAAUAAGAACAUUGAUCUUUAGACAUAGUUGGAGCUUACCAAUUAGUUCUUAAUUGAUUUCUUCAUUUCUAUGUUUGAAGAUCAAUGCUCUUAUUUCCUUGCUGAUAUUUUAAAAGCUAAAUCUAGUAGGGGAAUGUAAAUUAGAAUAAGUGUUAAUCUGUGUACGAAUAAAUUAAUUGAUAAAAGAAGAAUGUAAAUUGUGCAAAAUAAGCUAAUUGAUUAUGUACCUGCGACCCAUAAGUUGAUCUCAUCCCUGACCGCCUUUUGUUCGUGUGAGGGUUGGCACAAAGUAAGGGGAGUUCAUCAUCGCCAUUCAGAUUUUUAACGCUUAAUUUGAAGCUUGAGAUUUUGGGAGUAGGAAUGUAGUACCCAUUUGUUUUAGGAGUUGACGUAUAACGUCUCUAGGUACCGCUUCCCUCCAAAUCAUCCAUUCUAUUGGCUGCCAUCUUUGAAAAAGUGGGUUUCUACUAAUUGAUUUUAGGGUAAAUGAGUCUACCCUACCUCCUAGUCUCGCUAGGUAAUCUGCCACAUUGUUGUGCACACGUGGUAUGUGAUAUUCGGUAAAAUAAUGGCCUCUAUUACUGCCUCUUAAGGAAACUCCGUGCAACACUUAGGGCUGAAAGCUUGUUGGGUUGACUAUAUUCGCCUUGAAUAAUUUUUAGGGCUAACUCCAUGGGGAUAUUUACUAUUUUAUUGCCUAUUCUACUAAUGACAUCUAAGGAGUUGGUUUCUCCCCUUAUAACUCUAUUGUGCCCACACAAAUCAUUAGCUAAUCUGAAACCCUUCGCGAAAGGCCAUAGCUUCUAUGGCAUUGGUGUCACUUUCAACCGUCCAUCCUAUGCAACAAAAGACUGGUAGACCAUAUUUAUCUUUGCAUUCUACUGCCAAAGUAGCAUAUUUAUUAUUCUCAAUGUAAGAUGCAUUAGAAGACAUGAUGAAGUCCACUUCAUGGGAUAUUAUGUAUCUUAAGUGAGUACAAACCUUUUGCAUGCAUGGUAAUUAAAUAAACUUUUUAUCAGAUUAUGUAAAUUUUAGGAGAAUUAUUAUUACCAAGAUACUCGUAUUGAUUUUCACCUGUAUAUUUCACAUGAUGCACAAGAAACAUACUUUUUGCGAAGAUUUCCUUUUCAUACAACUAGUUGUGAAUAAGGUUGUACAAAAAUUUCCUGGCUUACAUAAGACAAACAUAUUCUAAGUUGAAUAAUUCUUGAUUACGAAAAUUAUAUUAUAUGUAAAAUGAUAUAUAUAUUACAUUAUUAGAGGUGAAAUUACAAAAACAUUAUUAUGAAUGUAGUACCCAUUACAACUUAAAUAUACAUACCGUUCCUUCGAUUGGUUGCCACAUACAAGAGAAUAGCAGGGAGUGCAACUGCUCAUGCAGAAUAUCGAAGACAAAGGGCCUUAUGGUGAUACAUUUCGUUUGAACACAUGGAAGAUGAACCAGACAUGAUAAAGAUUUAGACACAAUAAUAUGGAUUCUACUCUGUGGCAAAAAGAGUUGUAUUGGACUGCCAUAUUGCAUGGGACAAUAUACGUGAGCGAACCUAUGCAAAAUAUGUUUGUCCUGCACACAUUUGAGCCUCGUGAUAAUUUGUUUAUUUUGAGAUGCCGUAAGAGAUUGUUUGAUUACAUUUUGGAACAGUUACCGCAGCUAUAUAUUGCGUACAAGAAAAUGGGAAUCGUUACCUCUUUCCAUAAUAUUUUAGAUAACGUCUUUAUUCCACUAUUUGAAGCCACAGUUGAUCCAAGUUCUCAUCCUCAGUUACAUUUGUUCCUGAUGCAGGUCCUUGUUGCUGAUGGCCAAACCAUCUUAUAUGAUUCUCCCUCAUCUUGUCUAGCCUCCUCUGCCUUAGGAAGAUGAUGAAAGUAAACCAGAAAGGCACCCAACUAAGCACAUGCCAACACCAGCUGAAUGGACCAAUGAGUUCAAUCCUGCAUUUUCCUAUUACGCUUAUUACUGCUACGCAAACUUGUAUAUUCUCAACAAGCUUCGUGAGUCAAAAGGAAUGCCAACAAUAAAAUUUCAGCCCCACUGUGGAGAGGCAGGUGAUAUUGACCAUUUGGCUGCCACAACAAUAUUCCUUUUAUGCCACAAUAAUAUUUCUCAUGGGAUUAACCUGCAGAAAUCUCCAGUUUUGCAGUGUUUUUAUUACCUUGCACAGAUUGGAUUGCCUAUGUCACCUCUGAGCAAUAACUCCCUCUUCUUGGACUAUCAUCGCAACCCCUUUCCCAUGUUCUUCCAGCGUGGCCUAAAUGUCUCAUUCUCAACUGAUGAUCCUUUGCAAAUCCAUUUAACAAAAGAACCGCUCGUGGAAGAAUAUAGUGUUGCUGCAAAGUUCUGGAAUCUCAGUGCUUGUGACCUCUGCGAGAUAGCUAGAAACUCUGUUUAUCAAUCUGGAUUUUCACAUGCCACAAAGGUGAGGAACUUGACAAACAGCAAUCUUCAAUUUGUCCAAUACAAGCCUGAGGACCAUUUAAUACUGUUAAUGGAUUUGUACUCUGAAACUUUUUUGUUCAAGAAAGUUUAAUUAUAACCACCCCCUUCCUUUUAUUCUCCA